UUUUUUUGGUAAACCCUAGUUUGUUUUUUUCUAGAUCGGGUUUUUUCGGUUUUCUUUGGUUAGUUUUAUUCUACGAACGUUCGUUCAUUCAGUUCUUAUAAUGAACGAAUUCGCUCGUUUGCCUCGGUUAGCGGACUUUCGUGCCGUAGUCUUUUUCUUUUUAUUUUAUUUUCGGCCAAGGACCUAUCCUUGAUUAUUUUUAUCGCAGACUAGCCCCUGAUCUUCAAACCCUCGCAAGUUUUUAACCGUUUGUCCAAAUCCAGUGAAACCAACGCCAAAAUCUUCGCCUCGAACCCCUCUUUCCAGUUAAUCAACUUGAACAAGGUUUCGAUAAUUUGAAAUUUGGUUUCAAGCAGAUUUGAAUUCGAACUUCUUUUGACCGUAGUUUGAGUUUCGUAGCUCCGAUUUGAUUGAUUCUUUUUGCAAAUCGAAGCACUUCAGUCGAACUUUCAGUUUGGAUCUCUUUAUUUGAGUUUGACCCUUGCAUUUAUGAUUGAGUGCUUAUGUAUGCUAUUGUUUGUUUGCGAUAGAAUUUCCGGAGUGCGAAGCGUGCUACUACGAGUCUCUAGGGUUUGCAGAUCGUCAGCAAGGCAAGUAACAUUUUGAUCAUACCCCUUAUUACUCAGUUUUUAUGCAUUAGUUACAACCCUCAAACAUUGCAUGAGUAGGAUCUCUUAGCAUGCGGGUUUUGGGAGUAGCUGAUGAGGUAGAACCUAUUGUCCUGUAUUAUCAAACCCCGGGAGUUACUUCUACAUUAUGCUUAUACUGCUAUGCUAUGCUCAUAGACGUGGUUUGGUUGAGUGAUUCAUGACAGCUGUGAGGUUAGUUAUAAACUAAGGGUUUAUUUAAGGUGACUACUUUAAUACACAUCUGGGUGGAUUGUUGGUGGGCACCUGGGGAAUCCAGUGUUGUCCAAGGAGAUUCCGGGGCAUCCAUGUGAUCAUCCUAUGGUUCGCCACCCAGGCUCAAAGCGAUCAUAAGAUUAUUCAUGCUCGAAACUUUCAUGUGCAGCCACAAGCCAUUAUGGGCUCUGGCAUAGUUGAGUAUUGUCAGGACCCCGAUCCUAAGACACAUCGAUCUAGCAUGUAACACAUCAUAUUGCUUUGCGGCCUCACGCACGGUAUUCCCACAGGUGCUACCUCACCUGGCCCGGGACCAUUUGCGCCUUUUGGCUCGCAUAUAUGAUAGUGUCGCUAGCAUCCAUAUGACAGAGAACCCGGACCGACAUGACUAGUCGUGAACCCAAAGUGGCACUAACUUACGGGGACAGGCAUACAUGAAUCAACAUCGAGCAUGUCGGUCAACAGCGUGCGAAUCCGGGCUGUAGCACUAGGCUAACAGGACUCCGGUGAACCGGGCUGUAGCAGGCUAGGCAGGACUCCGGAUGUCACCGCGUGACAUUUCCCCGAAGGGACAGACACAGGAACGAAGUGAAUCACAUGCCGGCCAGUCAAGUGUUCCGGAGCAGUAGUGCUGGGCUAGCAGGACUCCGGUGAACCGGGAUGUAGCGGACUACUAUGGCUCAUGGAAGCACAAGACUACAUUUCCCCAUAAGAGAGGCUACCAAGAAUAAACAACUAGGUUGUCGGAUCCCACACAUACCAAGCAUUUCAAUCAUACACACAAUAUGCUCGAUAUGUGUAAAUACAAGAUGGCAUCACAGCAUAACUCUACGACUCAAGUAUUAAUUCAUUAGGAUCUGAGGAGCCAAGUAUUACAAUCAUGGUCUCAUGACCCAACAUACAGAGCAUACAAGCAUCGAGCGAAAGCAUAAACAUGUCUAAGUACAGACAACUACAAAUGAAGAAGGCAGAGAAGCCUGACUAUCUACAAGACCCUCCCAAGGGUACAAGAUCGUAGCUGAGGUAACAAGCUAAACGUCGAAGUCCACGCGGAACUACUAGCGAGACUGAAGUCUCUCUACAAAACAUAAAAUAAGCAAACGUGAGUACAAAUGUACCCAGCAAGACUUACAUCAGAACUAUCUACAUAUGCAUCAGUAUCAACAAAGGGGUGGUGGAGUUUAACUGCAGCAAGCCAGCUUUGACUCGGUGGCUAUCCUGAACUACGACUGCAAGUAACUCUUUUGAGGUGGCGCACACGAGUCCACAUAUUCACCAUACCAAUAUACCACUAUGGAUCCGCUCCCGUCUCCCUACGAGACGCCAUCCAUAGCACUCACGCUUAUCUUGUGCAUUUUAGAGUAUCCACUUUCACUUGUCUAUGAACUGUACAGGCAACCCAGAAGUCCUUUACCGCGGACACGGCUAUUCGAAUAGAUGAUGUUAACCCUGCAGGGGUGUACUUCUUCACACGCUCUCGCCACUUACCACCAUGUACACGUCGUGUAUCUCGGCAACCUUCAAGCGGAAGCCUGGCGAGGGAGUCGGCCACGACCUGACUAACCACGCAAGUCUCUAGUCCAGGUUUAUCGCCUAUUCGGGUUCCAUCCGCAAGGAGAUCCGGCCGGGGUGUCGCUCACGGCCCCAAACGAUGUGUGCAGGGUUCCCAAGCCCACCUCGACGGAUGGAUCUACGCUUGGUACACCGUGCCACGGUGCCUAGUCUGUCCCAAGCCCACCUGUACCGGGUGCCACUUGGUAGACUACUAACACAACCUACAAACACCAGAAACUAGUUGCAACUCCUGGACAGAGAUCGAGGCGGUUAAUAAGCCGAGAGGGGCCGAGUUACCGGAACCCAAUGUGUGGUAGUAACUAUUCAUGGAUCACAAACACAGAACUCAGUUCCUGAGGACGGUUUCAAUGAGACAACCCACCAUGUACUCCUACAUGGCCUCUCACCUCUACCUUUACCAAAUCGUGUUCACACACUUAGCUCUCAAUAGUAGGACAUGUUACACAACUUUCCAAUUCAUCCCCGAUGAAUCAGACCUGACAUAUCUCUAGGCAAUAGCAGGCAUGACAAACAAGCAUGAAUGAGUAGGCACAUCAGGGCUCAAACAACUCCUACUCAUGCUAGUGGGUUUCAUCUAUUUACUGUGGCAAUGACAGGUCAUGCAGAGGAAAGGGGUUCAACUACCACAGCAUGUAACAGUUGAAUCGUUGUUGUCCUAAUGCAGUAAAAGAGAGCAGGAGCGAGAGAGUGGGACUAUAUGGGAAUGAACAAGGGAGUUUUGCUUGGCUGGCACUUCUGAAGAUAACUUAGCUCUUCAUCGGUGUCAUCGAACUCAUCGUUGGAACAUCGUCUACCGAGAGGGGACAAAUACCGGCAAUAGAGAAGAAAUACAAUCAAUGCAAUGCAACAAUAUGAUGCAUGAAUGUGACAUGGUAAUAAUGUUAUGAUUUGCACUAAUGCAUCUAGCAACAAUUUAAAUGAAGUCCAUAUGGACCAAGGGUUCAUAUGCAAACUCCAUAUUUAGCAUUUAAGAUGCCAUUAUCAUGUUUUCACUUAUACAGUAGGUAUAAGUUGGUUUAACAUGCAUGAAAGUAGCAUAAAUGGAUAGAUUGCAUUUUUCUGAUAAUUUUUCAUGUAUAAUUUAUUUCAUUUGGAGUUACGGUUUAAUUUCUAUGAUUUUCAAAGUUUGCAACAUUUUCUGAAAUUUCCAAAUCAUUUUUGAAUUAGAAAUAUUCCAGAAAAUGCUUACUGCGUCAGCUCUAGGUCAUGCUGACGUCACCUAGUCAACAGGGCCAGUCAAGGUCAAACCUGACGUGUGGGGUCCACACGUUAGUGACACGGGGACUAAUCCCGGUCAAAACCAGCGCUGACUGGGUUUGACCCCAUGGUGGGGCCCACUGUCAGUGGCUGUGAGGUGGCUAAUUAAGGGAUUAGCCUCUAAUGACGGAGCCACGUCAUCGUCGCCGAAUUAAGCGCCGGCGACCAUAUCUCGCGGCAGAGGCUCGCCGGAGUUGCUCGGGCUCGCGCUACAGGCGGCCGUUGCGACGCGGUUUGGCCCUACGGAGAGCUGGUGUUUGCGCGCAUCUGGUGGAGCAAAGGGGGGAGCUAGGGUGGCCUGAGCUCGCCGGAAAUGAGCUCAGGGCGGCGGCCGGAGUUCGGCUUUGUCGGCGGGGCUAGCUGGCGGACGCAAAAGACGGCGGGGUUAGGGGGAGAGUGUGGUGGAGCUCACAGCGGGCCGGUAGAGAAGCUUAGCGGGCUCGGGGACGCGCUGACGAUAGCGUACGGUCGCCAGAGAUCUUCACGGCCGAGGGUUGAAGAAGCGGGCGAGGACGACGGUACGGGGCUCUCGGCGUCGUGCGGCUCGGCGAUGGGGAAGAGGACGGUGAGGAGGAGCUCUCACGCAAGGUGGGGAGGCGAGGGGAGGCCAGUGACCACGUCGGCGGUGAGCUGCGAGCUGCGGUGGCCGGUGGGGCUCUUUGUUCGGGCGAAGAACAAGGAGGGAGAGGGGAAAAUGGCCAGGGGAGAAGGGGGGUCAGCACGGGCCUCGUCCAUGUCUCCUGGGCGCGGGGUUGGGAGGAAGGAGGCGUUGACACAGCGAAGCAAGAGGUGGCCGCUCGGGCGCAUGCGCUCGCUGCCCUGCCUAUGCCUACUGGCAGAGGUACGGGACGACUGGCAGGGGCCAGCUGGGCUGGGCCGGCCAGGUAAGUUGGGCCAGGUGAGUUCUUUCUGCUCUCUUUUGCUUUAUUUUCUAUUUGUUUUCUUUUUAUUUAAACUUGCCACUGUUUAAAAUUUAGAACAAAUCAAAACAGUGCCAAAUAUCCUCUAAGUAUAACUUAUGUUGCUCAUUGGACAUUUCCAAAUGCACAUAAAUUAUCACAGAGCAUUUAAAAACAUAUCCAUAUAUAUUUGAAUAUAUUUUCAAAUUCAAAUAGAAUAUUGUUUUAAAUUCAAAUACCAAAUAAUUCCUUAAAAAUGUUCCAAAAUUUUGGUUUGGUAUAUAACCCUUGCCAAAAUUCUCAAAACUAUUUUUAGGGAAUUUUGGAUUCACUGAAUGCAAUUUAAAGGGUUCUUGCCCUUCUUUUAAAAGAUUUUGAGGCUUUCAAAUUCCCUCAAUUCAAGUUUCUUCGAUUAAACAUGAUGCAUGCUCACGGAUGCAACUAUUACACUCAGAUAUUCUAGGGCUGUGACAAGUAUGUUGUGUGACCUCUUACAGUGGUAGACUAGCAGAUGUAGGGGAUAUAGGUGGUACUGUCUACCCGUCGUAACGAGCUAACGCUUCUGAAAGACUUUGUUUCGGUCAUCCGUUUCUCAAACAUCAUGCAGUGCGAGAUAUUCAACGGAGGAGAUUGAGUCUUGUGGGGAAAAGUGCGCAAACCUCUGCAGAGUGUACAAACUAAUCAUGGUUAGCCGUGUCCCCGGUUACGGACAUCUUGAGUAUGUGGUUCUUGAAUGGUCAUGUUCAUCUCAUCACUGUAAAUUAAUUUGUUGGGUUAUUAAUACUGUUUAAUUGGGAUUGAGACGGGGUUACCAUUCUCAAUGUUUAUCAACUACCAUGAUAGUUAAACAAAAUAUAUUCCUUUGUUGUAGGAAAAAAUUGGCUUUUCGCAAAAACUUGUUAACCAUAGAGCCUCCACCAGCCAUAUAUGCAUGUAGUGAUAGCUUUUACCUGUUCAUUGCUCUACUGUGUUAUUUUGCCAGCAUAUUCCAUGUGCUGACCCGUUUCGGGCUGCAACGUAUUAUGUUGCAGACUUUUCAAACGAAGAGUAAGGCGCACUAGGUCGUUGUCGUGCACUCGGCUAUGCCGUUGGAGUUGAUGGACUCAUUUACCUUUCGAUGCUUCCGCAGUUAUCUUAUUUAGAUGGCCUUAAGCCAUAUUAUUGUAAUAAGUUCUCUUUUGAGACAUUUGAUGUAAUAAGUGUGUGAUUGCACUCUGUUGUAAAUCCUUCAAGUACUGUGUGUGUCAGCAUUACCGAUCCAGGGAUGAUACUUAUGCAUAGAGAUUCGGCCGUUUGAGGUCGGAUCGCUACAAGAUGGUAUCAGAGCACACGCUGAUUGUAGGACAUGACCACUAAGAUAAGCCAUAGGUCACUCUUCUUUACUCAUUUCUGACUCCUCUUCAUUUUCCACUCUAUAGAUGGCAAACUCGAGGAACAAGUUCACUCAACCGGAUGAAUACAGACCUUUUGGACGUCACUUGAAGGAAGACACUAGGUACCUGAACAUCGGAAUACCAAGCUUCACCGGGACCUACACCGCCACUUUACUAGAAGAGGAGCGUUGGAUGAUUCGAGUUCAAGUUCCAGGAAGGACGUUCACGCCAGUUACUGAGCCCAUAGAGUUUUCCUUUGAUGCACCAACCUGGAGUCUAGGUAAGAGCAUGGCAGCUCACAUCACCAUGGGACGCAUCAGCGAAGUUUAUCACAAGGAUCUCAAGGACACCAUCUACCAGAUAUCUGGGCGCCGAGACAAGCAAUGGGAGAUGAUCAGCACCAGGAGGGAUAGGUCCAUUGUAGCUUUCAUCCAAGAGUUAAACCAGCACAUUCGUCGCCAGGAGAACCAAAUGUGCGCAAACAUGAUAGAACUAAAGAAGGUGAUGACCAGGAACAUGGAGCUUGAAGAGGAACUCAAGUCUACACGAGAUGGAUACGAGGAGGAAAUCGCAAUAUUAGUGGAGAAGAAUGACGACCUGACAAGGAAGCUAGGAGUAUUCAUGGGAGACCCCGCGCCAGGAGAUGACGACCAUCCCGAGGACUACAUCAUCAUCGACGACCCCGACUCCGACCCCGACAGUAGUGAUGAUGAUUACGAAGACGAAGCUGGAGCAGACAUCAUGGAGUCUUCCACCGAUCAAAAUUUCUAGAGGACCUCCAUAUUAUCAGUAGUAUUUUCCCCAUGUAUAUAUUAGUAGUCCGAGUAUUUAGUAACAGUAGAUAGAUUUAUUGUAUGCCCUUGUUUGAAUUGAAUGGUGUGAUAUGAAUGUGUUUGUCUCAUGUGCAUAUGGGUAGUGCUUUCUCACUAGACCUCACUCUAUUCUUAUCUCUUCCCUCUAAACCCAUCAGAUGCCUCCGAGACGUGACCCCGGAUUUGUCUUCCCAUCGGAGCUCACUCAGUUGAUCCAACAGCAGAAUGCCUUGAUGCAGCUACUAGUCCAGAACCAAGGCAACAACAACAACAACCCACCGCCACCGCCUCCAAUUGACAACUUAGCCCAUUUUCUGAGGUUGAAUCCACCAGUGUUUUCCAGUAGCACCGAGCCGAUUGUUGCUGAUGACUGGCUACACAGGAUUGGAAGGGAGUUGACCACCGCAGGUUGCACAGAUGCUGAGAAGGUGCGUUUUGCUGCACAUCAAUUGGAUGGGCCCACGGCCUCAUGGUGUGAGAAUUACACAGCCACUUUCCCUAUAGCCAAUGUUACUUGGGAACAGUUUCGCAAGCAUUUCGCACUGCACAUGUCUCAACUGGAGCUAUGAGCGUGAAGAAGCGUGAGUUUCGCAACUUACGCCAGUGAAAUCGUACUAUGGGGCAGUACGUGGAUGAGUUCAGUAAGCUAGCUUGCUAUGCCCCGGAUGAUGUGGCCACGGAUGCCGCAAAGCAGGAGAAGUUUAUGGAAGGGUUGAAUGAUGAACUAAGCAUGCAGUUGAUGGUGGCAACAUUUGCUAACUACCAGGACUUGGUAGACAGGGCUCUUAUGAUUGAAGGAAAGCAGCAGCAGAUAGAUAGCCGCAAAAGGAAGUAUGGGCAAGGGAAGUAUAACUCUGGAGCAACGCAGAAGCCUCAUUUUACUCCUAACCCGGGAGGAUUUACCCAUAACCAUGGAGGACACACUCACAAUGGAGGAAGUUCCCAUAACCACAGUGGUUCCAGGAAUGGAAAUGGGAAUGGAGCAAGCACCAGCCAGAACCGUUCCAACCCAGCAACACCCGCUAAGAAGGAUCUGAGUCAUGUCACCUGUUACAAGUGCAGGAAGACUGGGCAUUACGCCAAUGAUUGUUCUGAGCUGAAGAAUGGCAAUGGGAAUGGAAGCUCUGGGAAGAAUCCCAAUCCCUUCACCAGAGGUCAGGUGAACCACAUCAACGUGGAGGAGGUUGAAGAUCAGCCUGACGCGGUGAUUGGUAAGUUCUUGGUUAAGUCAUUUACCGCUCUUGUUCUUUUUGAUACUGGUGCAUCACAUUCAUACAUAUCAAGGGGAUUUGUGGACAAGUUUAAGCUACCCACCAUAGCCCUUAGGUCACCCAUGUUAGUAAGUUCGCCAGGAGCAGAGUAUAUGGUCAGCCGAUGGUGUGAUCAGUUACCCUUAACCAUUGGCAGCCAUGUUUUCCCCUCUGACCUAAUAAUUUUGGAGUCACAAGGAUUGGAUAUAAUACUAGGCAUGGAUUGGCUAUCGAAGUAUGGAGGGAACAUUGACUGUGCUAGUAAGUCGAUACUUCUCACCAGCCCGGAGGGAAAAAGGAUUAAGUAUGUAUCCAUGCAAGCGCCUAGGAAAGCCCAAGUAAAUUCCAUCUCAGGAGUCGUUCAGGAGGAAGUGCGUGUAGUGAAGGAUUACCCAGAUGUAUUUCCAGAGGAACUACCAAGCAUGCCGCCGGAUCGAUACAUUGAGUUUUUGAUAGAGCUGUUGCCAGGCACCGGACCGAUAUCGAAGAGACCAUACCAGAUGCCCGCAAAUGAUCUGGAGGAGAUUAAGAAGCGGAUUAAGGAGUUACUGGAGAAAGGUUACAUUUGACGAAGUUUGUCACCGUGGAAGCCCUAGUGCUCUUGGUUGAGAAGAAGGAUGGAUCUUUGAGAAUGGUUGUUGAUUAUCGUGCGUUGAAUGAAGUGACGAGCAAGAACAAGUACCCACUACCGAUGAUCAACGAUUUGUUUGACCAGCUGCAAGGAGCUAAAGUAUUCUCCAAGAUCAAUCUGCGAUCAGGAUACCACCAGCUGAAGAUCCGAGAACGGGAUAUACCUAAGAUAGCUUUUACUACAAGGUAUGGCUAUAUGAGUACACGGUUAUGUCAUUUGGAUUGACUAAUGCCUCUGCCUAUUUCAUGAGUAUGAUGAAUAAGGUGUUUAUGGAGUUCUUGGAUAGGUUUGUUGUGGUGUUCAUUGAUGAUAUUUUGGUAUACUCAAAGAAUGAAGAGGAGCACAAGGAGCAUUUGCGUUUAGUUCUCGAGAAGCUCAGGGAACAUCAGCUUUAUGCCAAGUUCAGCAAAUGUGAGUUUUGGUUGAAGGAGGUUGGAUUCCUUCGACAUGUUAUAUCAGGAGAAGGUAUAGCAGUAGACCCUACCAAGGUUCAGUCAGUCAUUGAUUGGCUGGCACCCACCUCAGUAGGAGAGAUCCGCAGUUUUCUUGGACUCGCGGGAUAUUAUCGAAGGUUUAUUGAGAAUUUCUCCAAGAUUGUGAAGCCUAUGAUGGAGCUGUUGAAGAAGGACACUAAGUUCAAGUGGACCGAAGAGUGUGAGGCCAAUUUCCAGGAGCUGAAGAAACAUUUGGUUACAGCCCCAGUGCUAAUUCUGCCGGAUAUACGCAAGGAUUUCCAAGUGUAUUGCGAUGCCUCUCGCUUAGGACUUGGAGGUGUACUUAUGUAGGACAGAAGAGUUGUUUCAUAUGCCUCACGCCAGCUUCGACCGCAUGAGUUAAAUUAUGCCACACAUGAUUUGGAGUUAGUAGCUGUAGUUCAUGCACUCAAGACCUGGAGACACUUUCUUAUUGGAAAUCGUUGUGAUGUGUACACGGAUCACAAGAGUUUGAAGUACAUUUUCACACAGAAGGAGCUGAAUCUCAGGCAAAGGAGAUGAUUAGAGCUUAUAAAGGAUUAUGACAAGAAGUUGCACUAUCAUCCAGGCAAGGCCAAUGUCGUAGCAGACGCUUUAAGCCGGAAGAGUUAUGCCAAUACCCUCAUAAGCGGAGGAUUACCAAAGGAGUUGGUCGAAGACCUCAGGGAGCUUCAUUUGGAGAUAGUUCCUAGAGGUUUUGUUGCAGCAAUGGAGUUAAAUCAACAUUAUUGGGAAAGAUUCGAGAGGCUCAAAAGGAUGGUAAAGAAAUUGCUGAGAUCAAGGAGAAGAUGAGUAAAGGAAAAGCCAAAGGUUUUCGUGAGGAUGAGCACGACACUUUGUGGCUUGAGGACCGUGUUUAUGUGCCCAACAAUGCAGAGAUCAGGAAGUUAAUACUUCAGGAAGGCCAUAACUCACCAUACUCGAUACACCCCGAAAACACCGAUAUGUAUUUGGAUUUGAAGGAGCGUUUCUGGUGGAGUGGUAUGAAGAAGGAUAUUGCCGAGUAUGUAGCCGCAUGUGAUGUAUGUCAGAGAGUGAAGGCAGAGCAUCAGAAGCCAGCAGGAUUACUGCAGCCUAUGCCGAUACCCGAAUGGAAGUGGGAUAAGCUUGGCAUGGAUUUCAUCAUCGGAUUACCCAGGACCCGAUCGGGAUAUGAUUCUAUGUGGGUAGUAGUGGAUCGUUUGACCAAAGUGGCUCACUUUAUCCCAGUGAAGACCACCUAUACGAUUGUGAAGUUGGCCAAGAUAUAUAUGACCAGGAUCAUAUGUCUGCAUGGAGUUCCGAGAACCAUCGUAUCAGAUAGAGGGACUCAGUUUACUUCAAAGUUUUGGCAUCAGCUGCACCAGACUUUGGGUACCAGGCUAGAGUUCAGUACAGCCUUUCAUCCGCAGACAGAUGGACAAACCGAGAGAGUUAAUCAGAUUCUGGAGGACAUGUUGAGAGCUUGUGUGCUAGAUUAUGGAUCUAGUUGGGACGAUAAUUUGUCAUACGCGGAGUUCUCAUACAACAACAGUUACCAAGCCAGCUUGAAGAUGGCACCUUUUGAAGCUUUGUACGGGAGAAGGUGCAGGACACCGUUAAUGUGGGAUGAAGUUGGAGACCGUCAGUUGUUUGGACCAGAUUUGAUCAAGGAGUCCGAAGAGAAGGUUAAGUUGAUUCGAGAUAGACUGAAGGUAGCUCAGUCCAGGCAGAAGAGUUAUGCAGAUUCAAAGUGCAAGGAGGUAGUCUAUGAAAUCGGAGACAGAGCAUAUCUUUGGGUGUCACCUCUGCGAGGAGUUAAACGAUUUGGAGUUAAGGGAAAGUUAGCCCCGAGAUUUGUAGGACCAUACCGAGUUUUGGAACGUAUGGGAGAAGUGUCCUACAAGUUGGAGUUACUUGAAGGACUGUCAGGAAUUCAUGAUGUGUUUCACGUUUCCCAGUUGAAGAAGUGCCAUGCUGAGAUGGCCGAUAUUCCUCUGAGAGAUACAGUGCCCCUGGAAGCAAUACAGUUGGAUUGCGAUUUGACCUACGAGGAGAAACCCGUCAAGAUUCUCGACUUCGCCAGCCGAGUUACACGCAGCAAGGUUAUCAAAUUUUGCAAAGUUCAGUGAAGCCACCAUACCGAGGAUGAAGCCACCUGGGAACGAGAGGAGGACCUACGCAAAGACCACCCGCACCUAUUUUCUAGCCAACCCGAAUCUCGAGGGCGAGAUUCAUCUUAAGGGGGGUAGGUUUUUAACAUCCACAAUUUUCAAUUUGGAAUGUUAUACAUAGGUCAUCAUAUGCAUAUCAUGUUUUAUUUGCAUUUCAUUUGUGAUCUUAGAAAAUCCUAAGCAACUCAAGGACCCACGGAGAGAGUUGGGGAUUUCAUUAUUUUCAUAUUUGAAUUUUUCUCAAAUUUGAAAAGAGGAUCAUUUUGGUUUUAAUAUUUUCUCUCCGAAUAUUUCCUACAUAAAAAUAAAAGAGAGGAGAUAAAAUGACUUCUCCAAAAUAGAAGAAAAUAUUGGAGGAAAAAUGUUAAAAUCAAAUAAAUAUUUUAUUUGAAUUUUAUUCGAGAUUUUAUUUGAAUUAGAAAAAUAUGCAUAUUUCAAAAUUGCAUUUUUAGGCCACUAAAGUGUUCACUUUGUUCUAAAUAUUUUAUUUAGACGGUGAAAAUUGUUUUUGGCAUUUUUAGAUUUUUUAAUUUCUUUAUUAGGAUUUUCUUCGGCAGAAUUUAUUUUAUUUAAAAAACGCGUCGCCCGACUGAGCCACGGCCCAGCCGAGCGGGCCGAAGCCCAGCGCGCCGCCGCCUCCCGCUCCGGCUCGAGACCGGACUCUCGAGCGCNNNNNNNNNNNNNNNNNNNNNNNNNNNNNNNNNNNNNNNNNNNNNNNNNNNNNNNNNNNNNNNNNNNNNNNNNNNNNNNNNNNNNNNNNNNNNNNNNNNNNNNNNNNNNNNNNNNNNNNNNNNNNNNNNNNNNNNNNNNNNNNNNNNNNNNNNNNNNNNNNNNNNNNNNNNNNNNNNNNNNNNNNNNNNNNNNNNNNNNNNNNNNNNNNNNNNNNNNNNNNNNNNNNNNNNNNNNNNNNNNNNNNNNNNNNNNNNNNNNNNNNNNNNNNNNNNNNNNNNNNNNNNNNNNNNNNNNNNNNNNNNNNNNNNNNNNNNNNNNNNNNNNNNNNNNNNNNNNNNNNNNNNNNNNNNNNNNNNNNNNNNNNNNNNNNNNNNNNNNNNNNNNNNNNNNNNNNNNNNNNNNNNNNNNNNNNNNNNNNNNNNNNNNNNNNNNNNNNNNNNNNNNNNNNNNNNNNNNNNNNNNNNNNNNNNNNNNNNNNNNNNNNNNNNNNNNNNNNNNNNNNNNNNNNNNNNNNNNNNCCCGCGACGCCGCAAGCCGCCCGCCUCGCCGGAUCACGCCGCUGCCCGCCGGAUCUCGCUGGUCUUUUCCAGUUAAACGGUAUAAAACCGUUCAGUUUUUUUCCGGUAAACCCUAGUUUGGUUUUUUUUCUAUAUGGGUUUUCUCGAUUUUCUUCGGUUAGUUUUAUUCUACGAACAUUCGCUCAUUUAGUUCUUAUAAAGAACGAAUUCGCUCGUUUGCCUCUGUUAGCGGACGUUCGCGCCGUAGUCUUUUUAUUUUUAUUUUAUUUUUGGCCAGGGAUCUAUCCGCGAUUAUUUUUAUCGCAGAUUAGCCCCUGAUCUUCAAACCCUCGCAACUUUUUAACCGUUUGUCCAAAUCUAGUGAAACCAACACCAAAAUCUUUGCCUCGAACCCCUCUUUCCAGUUAAUCAACUUGAACAAGGUUUUGAUAAUUUAAAAUUUUGUUUCAAGCAGAUUUGAAUUCGAACUUCCUUUGACCGUAGUUUGAGUUUCGUAGCUCCGAUUUGAUUGAUUCUUUUUGCAAAUUGAAGCACUUCUGUUGAACUUACAGUUUGGAUCUCUUUAUUUGAGUUUUACCCUUGCAUCUAUGCUUGAGUGCUUAUGUAUGCUAUUGUUUGUUUGCGAUAGAAUUUCCAAAGUGCGAAGCGUGCUCCUACGAGUCUCUAGGGUUCGCAGAUCGCCAGCAAGGCAAGUAACACUUUGAUCAUACCCCUUAUUACCCAGUUUUUAUGCAUUAGUUAGAACCCUCAAACAUUGCAUGAGUAUGAUCUCUUAACAUGUGGGUUUUGGGAGUAGCUGAUGAGGUAGAACCUAUUGUCCUGUAUUAUCAAACCCUGUGAGUUACUUCUACGUUAUGCUUAUACUGCUAUGCUAUGCUCGUAGACGUGGUUUGGUUGAGUGAUUAAUGACAGCUGUGAGAUUAUUUAUAAACUAAGGGUUUAUUUAAGGUGGCUACUUUAAUACACAUCU
rnacentral:lncRNA from 1 species